GUCAGCUUGUCCGGGCAUAUUAGGUUUUCAAAUUAGUCUACAGGAGAUUUACCGCCAUCACUUGUUGCUUGGUAUGCAUUUUAUGGAUUAUUUUUAUUAUAAAUGUCAGGCGGAAGUUUUGAGCAGGUUGUUAUGCUUUUUUAAUUUUCCUGAAAUCGCAUUCCCCUGAAAAGAAUCAACGUAAACUGGAUGUAAAUUUGGCAAAAUAUCUGAUGGUUGUAAUAUGCCAUGCAGUAAUCUUGGGCGGAACGCUGUGAGUACCCGGUCUUGCAAUCAGAUUGUACUACAUCACAAUCACCGAUUUAUCAACGGCCUAUCAGCACACCACUCCACAUCCUCCUUGGAAUCUUUUCUAGAAACCCGUUUUCGGUUACCGUCCACAGUGCAUUAUCUUUUCACCUUUCGGCCAUCUCCGGCAUCAGACCAGUCCAAAGAACAAAGCUAUUUUUGCUGGCGACCAUCCAUCACAAUGUUGGGCAUCGCGACAUUCACAAGAGAUCGCGAGGAAAAAAAGAUUUGCGAGUAGAAGAAGCAGGGAAAAAAACAUCUUUGCAACGGCACGAAGCAGUCGUUGACUCCUGUCAGACAACACGCGGGUCAAGGAUGACCAUUAAUCAUGCGUCCAGCUAGCCCAUCACCCUCCCCUCGUCGCGCCAAAAUGGUAAUAAAAAGAAGGAGGUCCUCUUGUUGUAGAGAUGAGGGGGUGGCAAAGAUGAGAAAUAAGGAAGAAAAGGGGGGGAAUGUCUUCUGCCACCUCGUCUACCACAAGGAAAACAAUUCAGCUAAGGAUUAUAUUGAUGAUUCGGAAUCGGCGGUGAAGGAUGACUGACUUCGUCUUGAACAAUGUCGACUAAUCGUACAAUAAUCGCUGCAGUUAUUUAAUGGUAGCUUUCCUUGAGUAACCAUCUAUCGGUUAUUGUUUUUCGUCUUGUCUCGCGACAGCUAAACUAUAAGACGGAUAACGCUAAAAUCGAAUUGCGUGGAAAAAGCUUAUGUCAUCAUUUUUGUGGCGAAGAAAAGAGAAAAGAUUUUCGUUAGGGAUAACGGAAAGUAAUACAGUGGUAAAUCGAAAGUGUCUAAUAAAAGUAAAUUUCAUUGCUC